rnacentral:rRNA from 1 species
GACGAACGCUGGCGGCGUGCCUAAUACAUGCAAGUCGAGCGCAGGAAGUCAUCCGUACCCUUCGGGUGGACGUUGACGGAAUUAGCGGCGGCGGGGUGAGUAACACGUAAAGAACCUGCUAUCAGGUCUGGGAUAACCACAAGAAAUCGUGGCUAAUACCGGUGGGGUCAUCGGACUGCAUGGUUCGAGCGUGUAGGGCGCUACGGCGUCGCCUGGGGCUGGCUUUGCGGUGCGUUGGCUAGUUGGUGGGGUAAUGGGCCACGGGGGCGACGAUGCAUCGCCGACGGGAGAGGGGGAUAGGCCACACUGGGACGGGGACACGGCCCAGACGCCUGAGGGAGGCAGCAGUAGGGAAUGUUCCACAAUGGACGGAAAUCUGGUGGAACAGGGCCGAGUGAGCGAUGAAGGCCCUCGGGUCGUAAAGUUCUGUUGUGAGGGGAGAACAAGUGCCGCAGGCGAUGGCGGCACCUUGACGGUACCUUGCAAGAAAGCCACGGCUAACUACGUG